rnacentral:rRNA from 1 species
AUGUAAUGUAAUUCCUACAUCGUUAAUACAUGAUAUCCCAUUAUAACUCCAUAAUUAAGCAUGAUUUGGAUAGAGUAGUACUAGGAUGGUCAAUCUCCCAAUAAGUCCUAGUGUCUUACAUG